rnacentral:lncRNA from 10 species
CCCGGUGUCGACUUACUAGCUGCAAGCCUCUGCCUGCCUUCCUGCGCGCCGUUCCCCGCUAGUCGCUGCUGCUGGCGCGCACUCGCCGGGUUUUUCCUCCCACGGCCUCGAGAUGGUGGUGAAUGUGGCACGGAGGAGCCGGGCCUUCCAACCCGGUGGGCCCGAGCUCCGAAAGGCCCCCUCGGCAGUGAGAGGGGCGGGAGCCCGCGGGGGCCGCGCCCUUCUCUCGCUUCGGACUGCGCAACGCUGCGCUCUGGGCUGACAGGCGGAUAAAACGGUCCCAUCAAGACUGAGAAAAAGCACACCAGCUAUUGGCACAGCGUGGGCAGUGGGGCCUACAGGAUGACUGACUUAGUCUACAGAGAUCCCGGCGUACUUAAGCAGGUAGUAAUGAUGGACAGGUGAGGCUUUAGGCGGCCGCCCUGGGAUCUGAAUUGCCCCUUGGCCCUUAUCGAAGCUGCAGCUGCUUCCGCAUAGCUGCUGUGGUCAAAAAGGAGCCCAGAGUGACAGUUUUCCUUGACGGUCGCCGUUCUGUUUGUUGUAACUGAUCUGCAACAUUUUGGGAAAAUACAGUUCCAUUGUACCUGCCACCUUUCAGCUGUAGCCAGAGACCUUUAUCAAAAUGGGCUUGUUUCCACAGAACAGCAGAACGGUUGGGGGUUUGCAUGUACAGUUAACCAGCAUAAGACUCGUACUGGGAAAAUCCAGCUGGGAUGUGACACAGCUUAACUGAUAGCUUAAGGCAUCAGUAUUGGGACCAAAGGCUGGUCAGAUUUGUAUCAUUCUGAGGACCAAAUGAUGGGAACAAUAAAAUUGUUCAUGACAGUUGUUCUCAUUUUGCUGUCCAGAUGAAGACUCUUAAGAUGACAGAAGGUGAUUUUUCUGGUGAUCGAGGACUUCCGGGGUAAUGACAGUGAUGAAAUGCAGGGGACCUGGUAGGUUUCUUUUGGAGACUAACUGGGGGCUGCCUGGUGGGACAGAACAGCAUGUUUCCAAGGGCUGUGGCUGGUCAUAGCCAUGGGAUCUCCAACUGCAUGCAAGAGCAACCUGGAAAGACUUUGACAGCGCAGGUCAGUACAAUACCUGCAAGCUGCCACUCAGCUUUCCUAUAAUGUUUCAGGACCAGGGCUGGAAGCCUUCCAUGUGUCAACUUCAAUGUAGAUGGGUUUUUUUUUUUUUUUUUUUUUGAGACGGAGUCUUGCUCUGUCACCCAGGCUGCUGGAGUGCAGUGGCAUGAUCUCGGCUCAUGGCAACCUCUGCCUCCUGGGUUCAAGCGACUCUCCUACCUCAUCCUCCCGAGUAGCUGGGAUUACAGGUGCCCACCAUCACACCCAGCUAAUUUUCUUGUAUUUUUAGUAGAGAUGGUUUUCACCAUGUUGGCUAGAUGGGUCUCGAACUUCUGACCUCGGGUGAUCCGCCCGACUCGGCCUCCCCUUCCAAAGUGCUGGGAUUACAGGCAUGAGCCACCGCUCCUGGCCAGUUUAGUUUUCACGCUAAGCUUUUUGUUCUGCAGGUUGCCCCCAAGUUUCCUGGCAGUGUGUGAUACUGAGGAGGUGAGCUUGUUUCUGGAGCUGUGCUUUAAGAUUCAUGUUACAUGUAAAGCUGUCCUCAUUUGUGACUAUGGACCUAUGGAGUUGGGACAAUCUCUAUGGGAAGCAGAAGGCAAGGACCCCGGUCAUUUUAGGUAGAAACAACAGCAUGCUAAUGCAAAAAAUUAUGCAGUGUGCUACUGAACUUCAGAGGUGAUCAAUAAAAGAAGAAUAAAAAGACUAAUAAAAG